rnacentral:lncRNA from 1 species
GCCAAUUUCGUCUUCGUCUUCGUGCAGCUGCCGUGGUGCGAUUUAUGCAGGGAGGACGCCAUGGAACGCGCCCUCUUGAUCGGGCUGUGGUGUUGCGUCGCACUGCAGGCGGCCGCGGCGGCGCUGGCUCUGCUUCUUCCGUGCCGCCGCCACUGGAUCCGCCGUGCCGUUGCCUACCUCGCCGUCGCGGUCGCCAUCGUCGGCCACUGUUUGUUGGCCAGCAUCGCCCCCCUCGCCGCCGACGCAGGACUAGGCUUGCUCGUCCCCUUGAUCGUCUACGCCGUGGCGGCCCUGGUGCUGCUACUCCCGUGCCGUUGCCGCCGGAUCUGCCAUGCCCUCGCCUACCUUGCGCUUGCGGUCGCGGUGGCGGCCGUCGUCAUCGGCUGCUGUAUUUUGGCGAGCUUCGUCCCCAUCGCCGUCGACACAGGACUAGGCAGGCUCAGGCUCAUCCUUUUGGUCGUCUACGUGGCGGUCAUGUUCAUCCUUGCGGUGGGCGACCUCAGCUUCCUGGCCCUCCUCAUAGGAGGGGAAUUCCCAUGGGACUGCUGAUUGGUCAGCCCCAAGCUCAUGCCCAUGGAUCAGCUCAUGAGGUACUCACGUACGUACGUACGUAACGAUCGACUUGCGGGGAAUAUUAAUAUUGAUGUGGUGCACUUCAUCGGCCUAGUAUUGGACCUUAAUAAUUUGAUGCUGAAUUAGCCUGUUAUUUGUGUGAUCGAGAUAUGCUAUUGAGUUCGUAUUAUUGAUGAACAAGCUACAUAUAUGGAGUCUGCUUUGAUGUAGUAUUAAUUGGACCUUUUCUCUGCACGAUCAACGGUAUAUGCCUAGCUUCGGUAUAAUUGAUGUUGAUGAUCUUGUUAUGCGCCACAUUCCUUGCGCCUUAACUGUGCUAAAUAAAAAUUGUCGACCAUAGCAAUUUUUGUUCAGUAAGUUACAAGCAUAUGACUGAUGGACUAAUUCGCUAGGGUAUUCUUCUCGUUGCCAACAUGUUUCAUGCAUGUGUUGAGAGCUUUGGACUUUUGAUCGAUGAACUUCGCACGUGUAUAGAACGGAUUCCCAUUCAACUGUGAGUCUCCCACUUUGUUAGAGCAACUAGCUCGGAUGCUCUCAUAGCAGAUUGGUAUCAUUUCUUUCCUUCAGGGCGGUUAAGGUGGUAUGGAUGAUGGGCGCCCGUGUGCCAGUGUAAUUAUCUUCGUCACCUUUUUGUUUCCUUGGGCCAUUGGAGCGGAUGAUAUGGGUCAAGCUGAACCCACACUCAACAAAGAUAUAAAGAGCAAUCUACAAUGGCACGCUAAGUACAUGCUCGGGGUUGCAAAACGGACAAGUGGUCCGUGGUAACAUACUAAUAAUAAUAUACGUAUUUUACAUACCGGUAGAUUGGAUUUGUAUUGUGUUUCGCAUGAACAGAAAAGUAUGACUCUGACUAACUACCGGGCAAGUAGUUUACCACCAUAUACGUGGUCGAUGGAGACCAAAAAUAAGCCGGUGAAUGCGUUCGAUUGAUCUGGUAAAAAAACAAAAACUACCCGAUGAUCUGUCAUGUAAAGUAAAACGCAAUUAAUGUAACUCACAGCCCAGGUUUUACCCGCUAACGGCGGCAUCCAACGUCACGUAAAAGUAAAUACAUGAUGCUGUCGAAAUUAAUGUUGUGCCACUAGGUGGCAUAUGCAUGCAUUAUGAUUAUUUUGAUUGCACGAACUAGGCAGUAUUGCCGUACGUAAUGAUUCCACGAGCACAGCAAGUAUACCAGUACCGCAAAUGGAACGGCCUGGCCCUGUGGCUGUGGCAUCGGUAGUGCACGAUGCACGCGGACGAGUGAGCUAAAACGAGCUACGGACCCAGGCUUUGGCUGCCCUGUGUGCACUGCCAAAAAUGGUAUACGCGCUGCCCAGAUCACAUGCCGCACCGGACCCUCUCCCUCCCUCACAUGCUACUCAGUGCAGCUAGCUCAGAGCCUGCGCCUGCUCGAGCUCGACACGUCCGUCGUGGGUGUCUCAUUGCAGGGCAGGCUCGCUCGCUCGCCACCGCGUUGCUCCUGCUCGGUACUUCGCACGUGCUAGAUGGAUAUGUUAUGGAUAUGCUGAUUAUGUAGAUGGAUAUGUUGAUGAUGAUACAUUAUGACAAUGUUGCAGCAAACCACUCAUGUCAUACAAAAUAAAAGAGGAUCAAGACUAACUCAAUCUCAUUGCAUCAGAAGAUAACUUCACUGAUCCAUUACGUAUUAAGCAAGAGCAUACAAAAAACAACUUGGCUUAAACUAGAGCAACUAAACCAGACAGUACAUUGCAUUUAGAUUGGCUGCAACUAAACCAACUAACUAACUUAAGAUCUUGCCUGCAACUAAGCCAAAAACAAAUAUAGUGAAAAGAAACAACACAUUGUGAAAUUUGGCCCUAAUCCCUACAAUCUCUGCAUUCUUCUCUCUGAGUUGAGUUUGCAGAGACAGAACCAUGGCCUCCCUUGUGCCAUCAUCUUCACUGGGAGUUAGCAUUGGAAAUUGAUCUUCAGAUCUAGCAACAGUUGCACCUUUAAGCCUCCAGACUUCAUCACACAGAUCCCCAAUGAGCUCACUCCAAAAUUUGGGCAAUGGAUCAUCAUGCCAUUGCACAAAUCCACAGCCACCAUUCUAUUAACAUGCACAAACAAAUUUCCAAAUAUAUAUCAUUUCAUAUACUAUUGCACAGAAGAAAAAGGAAAAAAAUUAGGCAAAAAACUACACUCGCCAGAGCAUCCAUGCAGCUAUAGUACCUCCUACCAGGGUUCUGCCUGCUCCAGGAGAUCCAUCUUGGCGCCUUCCUCGGAGUUGAGCAGUGGCACAUCACUGGAGGCUCGUAUGCCAUUGGGUUCUCACGGUAGCGCACCGGCGAGCGCGACUCCUCCCCCCUCCUUCCUGCGGCUCGACGAAAUCCGGGAGCGGACCCGGCACUGGACGACCACGACAUCUCUCUCUCCGCCGCCGGCCCCAGUCAGCGCCUCCACGCUGAGAUCUCUCCUUCGCUGCGCUCCAAAUGGACACCGCGUGGAUGAACCUAGUUUCGUUCCCCACUCGCUCGAUACAAGCUUGUGCUGUCACUUUAAUAGUAGGAGAGGUAUCGGUCCCACCUGUCAGAAUCCCCAAAUGUGGUACUGCAUGUUAUGUGAUGCCCCAAUAUUGGUACUGACAUGCAACAGCUAGCAGCAGUAUUGGUACUGACUUGCAACAAGUAACUGCAAAUGUGGUACUGAUUUGCAAAUAUUGGUACUGGAUUGUGCCAACAGACAUUCAUAAUUCAGGCACUGGCACUGGCAACACAUACAUACAUAUUCAUCAACAGCAACACAUACAUAUCCAGUAGCAACAUCAACAGCAACACCAUACAUACAUAUUCAACACCAAAAUAUGAUGCCCCAACUAGAGUACUCCACCUCAAGUUCAACAUUACAAUAACCAAUACUGGAUUGUGCCAAAAUAUGCAUCAAGUGGCAACAGCACAUCAACAUCAACAUCAAGUUCAACCAAAAUAACACCACAUCAUUUCAAAUUACAUGGCUCCUCUUCCUGUGCUAGCAGUGAAGUAGGACAUCCAUCCAGUGUGUGUACCAUCAGUAGCAAUGUCAGCAUAAGUUGAGGCAGCAUAUUGCCUGGGGGCACUGAAUGGCCUUGGAGCACCUCUUCCAGCUCCUGUGCCAACUCUUCCUCUACCAGCUCCUCUUCCAGAUGGUGGUGGUGUAGUAGAAGUAGCAGCAGCUCUUCCUCUGCCAGCUCCACUUCUUCCAGAUGAUGGUGGUGUAGGAGCAGAAGCACCAGCUCUCUUGCCUGUCUUGCUGUUGGUGUAGUAGAAGGACCAGCAGCUCUUGGCUGUGAGUUACUUGGAGUAGCCUUGCAAAGAAAAGGAAAACAGUUAAUAAUGCUAGAGAGGAAUGUACAAGAAAGGAAACAUUAGUAUAUUUCAAGGUGAAAAAUUAUUACCACAUGCUUAUUCUUCCUCAAAGCUAGCUCAGGCUUCAACUGUUUAAGACAGUUUGUGUACCUAUGCCCUUGGAGACCACAAUUGCCACAUGUUAUGGUCCCCAUUCUUGAAGUGUCUUUUGGCUUUGGUACUUCAAAUUUGCCCUUGAUCCUCUUUUCUUUCCUUCUUCCUCUCUUGAUUUUGAAUGCAGGUGGUUCUAUGUCUGGACUAGGGGUCCUUGUCCAAUCAUGCUCACCAGGCACAGGAAAGAUCAUUGGUUCAUAAGCUGCAACAUAAAAAUCUUUCUUGAAGAAUUUGCUGACAUAAUCCUCUGGUUUCCUUUUAGCCUUGUUUAUUGCAGAGAUGGCAUGGUUGCAAGGUAUGCCACUAAGGUCCCACUUCCUGCAUCCACAAGUCUCAAGUUCCAGGUUGACAGCAUGUGUUUGCUGCCCACUUGUAACUUGCCAUAAGUUGACCCCUGCCUGUAUUGGCUUGCAGUAUCUGGCCCUCUCCUUCUCAACCUCUAGCUUCUCAUUGUAAUGAGGUGUUAUCUCCCAUCUUGCUGCCUUUCCACUCUCUCUGUUCCUGUGCCACCUCACCAUCUGCUUAUCUUUUAUGCCAUCGCACAUUGUCCUUAUAGGUUUUCUCCUAACAUCUAGAAUGUACUUGUUGAACACCUCAGACAAGUUGUUCACUACCAAGUCAGUCUUGCUGUUUGUGUCAAAUGCAUGCCUUGCCCAUGUUUUUUUGGUAUUGCAGUAAGCCACUCCCAAGCUUCCUCACUUUCAGCUCUAAGAUCAUUCAUUGCAAUAUUAAAUUGUGUUCAUUGUAGGCAUAGCUAGCAUUAUCCAUGCACUUCUUAAGAUCUUCACCCCUAAACCCAGCAUUUUGGAAAUUUGCAUAUAAAUGUCUAAGGCAGAAUCUUUGGUUGCAAUUUGGAAACACAGCAUUCACUGCAUUCAGUAACCCCUGACACAAACAAUUUAACAAGUCUAAGCUACAAGCUAAAGAAAUAUGCACCAAUCAAACUCUAAGCUACUGUAAACACUUGAGCAAAACAGAAUGAAAUAUGCAAACACAUACCUUUUGUCUAUCUGACAUUAUAGUAUAAGGUCCAAACUUGCCCACUUCUCCCCCUAGGCAAAUUUUCAGUUGGUGUAGAAACCAACACCAACUAGGUGUGUCCUCUUGUCCAACUAUGCCAAAUGCCAGUGGAUAUAUGUUGUUGUUGCCAUCUCUACCAGUGGCAGCAAGGAGUUGAGCACCUGUAGUGAGCUUAAUGAAGGAUCCAUCAACACCUGCAUAAUCAACAUUUCCAAACAUUAAAUACAUUCAAGUGAGAUACAAUAUGGAGUACUCUACAAUAUGUAAAUGGUGCACAAGGUUAAGGAACUAACCAAUGAAUGGUCUGCACCCAUUGAGAAACCCCUCCCUUGCUCCAUUCCUGCAAAAGAACAUGGCAUGGAAUCUUGGGCCUGGGUGGGGUAUUUUUGCAUUUGGUACUGGAGUAACAGUAGUGACUAUUACUCUACUCCCAGGGUUUGUGUCCAUGACAGUUUGAGCAUAGUCUUUAAGCCUAGGAUAUUGCUUCUUGUGAUCUCCUAACACAGCUUCAAUAGCUAUGUUCUUUGCCCUAUAUGCCAUGCACUUGGGCACAUCUACACCAUAUUUUUCCAUGCAUGCAUCAAUUAUAGUCUGAAUACCAGUAGUUAUAUCAGAUCUAAAGAGAUGCUCAUAUUUCUGUGCUAGCCACUUAGCACUAACCCUGGUGGUCUCAGUAGUACUAGGGCAAGUGUGCUCUAGUCUCAUCUUCUUAAUUACAAAGGCUUUCUCCCCUUUUAUAACUGCUGCCACCAUGCAUAAAGAACUGGCAUUGUUUAUCUGUACACUCAACAAUUAUCCUCUGAUCUGAAUUCCUGUGAUACUUGAAAUUCCUAGCCUGAGUAAUGUGCAAAUUCAACAAAGCAUCUCUGAAUUCAUGUUGAUCCCUAAAACACAACUUUAGACAUAGUUGUUCAUGUGGUUGCUCCAUUUUCUCAUUGUACCACUUCCUAGCAGACCUUUUCUUUGCCCUACUCUGCCUUUUCUUUGAUAGGACAAAUGAGAUUGGCUGAAAACCAUCAUCAUCACUCUCCCUCAACAACCCCUUCUCUUCUUCAUCUGAUGAUGGUCUGAAAUCAGGUUCAACCUCUGGUAGCUUACUGGAAUGUGACCUAGUAGUUGGUCCUCUUCUAACUGGCAGCUUCUGCUUCUUUACAGGUACAACUAUAUUUUCUUCUUCUUCUUCUUCUUCUUCUUCUUCUUCUUCAAAAGUCCUAUCUUCCUCUACCUCAAAAGGGUCCUCAACUUCAGUGUCACCCUCAUAAUGCAGCACUGGUUCCUCAUCUGAUUCUUCCUCUUGUACUUCUAACUCUCUCUGUCUCUUCCCCUCUUCCACCUCUACAUCUUCAUCAUCACACAUAUAAUUAGGCUCACUUCCAAUUUGACCAUCCUCAUCAGAGGCAGAAGCAUCACUGUCCUCAUAUACCUCAUAUCCUUGAUAUCCCUCUUCUUCUUCUUCCAAAAUAGCUUUCAACUUGGCAUUUGCAUUCCUGCUUUCUUGUGUGCAACCAACAGGAGGAUGGGGUGUGCUAGAGCUGCUACGUUGACUCUCAAAAACUACUCCUUGCUGAUCAACAGCUAAGACAGAAGGCUCACUAAGAUCAUAAACAACAGGCUCUUGGUACACAACAGUGGACAAAUCUAGCCUUUCACAUUGCUGCAACUCAAAAUCUCUAUCAGGGGGUGGACAAGCCCUAACUAGCAAAUUAAGCUCCAAUUUGUCCUGGAUCUUCCUCUUUAUCAUCUGUAAUUCUGCAUGACUGUCUACCAAAUCCAGCCCUUUCUCUCCUAAAGAUGGAUUUUCAAUGUGAUACAAACAAUCAUAUGCAUUAAAUCCUUGGGUUUCCAUCACUGCAACCAAAUUCAGAUAAGUAAUAUCUGAACUACAAAGCUUCAUCUCCAAUGGUUCUCUUGCAUCAAAAUGGAUCCUUACUUGCCAAAUGUCUUCAUCCAAACUACAGAACAAAUUCAAUUUCAUGUAUUCAUUACCAUAACUCUAAAUUUGGAGAGCAACAGUACAAUACAGGAAAAUUUGAAUUAACUUUCCUAUAAGUCUCAAAUUUACUAUUACAAUUACAGAUGACAGAACAUGAAUCAAUGUAGCUACGACCAUUUCAGCACAAUAGCAAAUUCAAGGAAAAAUACAAGGACAAAAUACUUCAAUUACUCAAACCCUAAUCCCAUAUUGUUACUGUAAUUGAACUACUUUGAUAGUGCACUACACUAGGUUGCUAGGUUACUGUAAUUGUCCUACAGUGCUCACAGAAGAUGAACAAACCCUAAUCCCCAACUGGAUAAAUGAUGACCCACGAGUAUAGGGGAUCUAUCGUAGUCCUUUCGAUAAGUAGGAGUGUCGAACCCAACGAGGAGCAGAAGGAAAUGAUAAGCGGUUUUCAGCAAGGUAUUCUCUGCAAGCACUGAAAUUAUAGGCAACAGAUAGUUUUGUGAUAAGGUAAUUUGUAACGAGCAACAAGUAACAAAAGUAAAUAAAGUGCAGCAAGGUGGCCCAAUCCUUUUUGUAACAAAGGACAAGCCUGGACAAACUCUUAUAUAGAGAAAAGCGCUCCCGAGGACACAUGGGAAUUGUCGUCAAGCUAGUUUUCAUCACGUUCAUAUGAUUCGCGUUCGGUACUUUGAUAAUUUGAUAUGUGGGUGGACCGGUGCUUGGGUGCUGUCCUUACUUGGACAAGCAUCCCACUUAUGAUUAACUCCUAUUGCAAGCAUCCGUGACUACAAAAGAAGUAUUAAGCUAAACCUAACCAUAACAUGAAACAUAUGGAUCCAAAUCAGCCCCUUACGAAGCAACGCAUAAACUAGGGUUUAAGCUUCUGUCACUCUAGCAACCCAUCACCUACUUAUUACUUCCCAAUGCCUUUCUCUAGGCCCAAAUAAUGGUGAAGUGUCAUGUAGUCGACGUUCACAUGACACCACUAGAGGAGAGACAACAUACAUCUCAUCAAAAUAUCGAACGAAUACCAAAUUCACAUGACUACUAAUAGCAAGACUUCUCCCAUGUCCUCAGGAACAAACGUAACAACUCACAAAGCAUAUUCAUGUUCAUAAUCAGAGGAGUAUUAAUAUGCAUAUAGGAUCUGAACAUAUGAUCUUCCACCAAAUAAACCUACAAGUACCAAUCUCAGACUUAGAGACAAGAAUUGGAUACAAGAGAUGAACUAGGGUUUGAGAGGAGAUGGUGCUGGUGAAGAUGUUGGUGGAGAUUGGCCCCCUCCCGAUGAGAGGAGCGUUGGUGAUGACGAUGGUGAUGAUUUCCCCCUCCCAGAGGGAAGUGUCCCCGGCAGAGCAGCUCCGCCAGAGCCCUAGAUUGGUUCCGCCAAGGUUCCGCCUCGUGGCGGCGGAGUCUCGUCCCGAAAGCUUGCUUAUGAUUUUUCUUCGGACGAAAGACUUCAUAUAGCAUAAGAUGGGCACCGGAGGGCCACCAGGGGGCCCACGAGGCAGGGGGACGCGCCUAGGGGGGUAGGGCGCGCCCCCACCCUCGUGCCCAGGGUGUGGGUCCCCUCUGGCAUUUUCUUCGCUCAGUAUUUUUUAUUAUUUCGAAAAAUAACUUCCGUGGAGUUUCAGGACUUUUGGGGCUAUGCUGAAUAGGUCUCUAAUAUUUGCUCCUUUUUCAGCCCAGAAUUCCAGCUGUCGGCAUUCUCUCUCUUUAUGUAAACCUUGUAAAAUAAGAGAGAAUAGGCAUAAGUAUUGUGACAUAAUGUGUAAUAACAGCCCAUAAUGCAAUAAAUAUCAAUAUAAAAGCAUGAUGCAAAAUGGACAUAUCAACUCCCCCAAGCUUAGACCUCGCUUGUCCUCAAGCGGAAGCCGAUAACGAUAAAUAUGUCCACAUGCUUAGAGAUAGAGGUGUCGAUAAAAUAAAAUACGGACAUGAGGGCAUCAUGAUCAUUCUUAUACAGCAACAUAUAUGGAUAUUGUCAUAUGAUUUCUUAUGCUCAAGUAACAAUCUAUUCACAAUGCAAAGUAUGAAUCAGAAACUUCAUUGAGAACUAACAAACUAUAAUGUCAGUCAUUGAAGCAAUUGCAAUUUAUCAUAACAUCAGAAAGUGUCUAUGUAAGAGCUUUUUAGCAAGUCCACAUACUCAACUAUCAUUUAGUCUUUCACAAUUGCUAACACUCACGCAAUACUUGUGGUUACAGAGUUUUAAUCGGACAUAGAGAAAGAUAGGGGCUUAUAGUUUCGCCUCCCAACCUUUUACCUCAAGGGUAAUGUCAACAAUAAUAGUUCAUGCUAACUUACAUCCAAUUAGAUAUAUAUAUCAGGAUCUUUCCAACACAAUGUACUUGCCAAAGGAUAAAAUAUAAAAAGGAAAGGUGAAGAUCACCAUGACUCUUGCAUAGGGUAAGAGGUAAAAGUAAAAGAUAGGCCCUUCACAGAGGGAAGCAGAGGUUGUCAUGCGCUUUCAUGGUUUGAUGCACGAAAUCUUAAUGCAAAAGAACGUCACUUUAUAUUGCCACUUGUGAUGUGGACCUUUAUUAUGCAGUCCGUCGCUUUUAUUUCUUCCAUAUCACAAGAUCGUAUAAAGCUUAUUUUCUCCCACACUAAUAAGUCAUACAUAUUUAGAGAGCAAUUUUUAUUGCUUGCACCGAUGACAACUUACUUGAAGGACCUUACUCAAUCCAUAGGUAGAUAUGGUGGACUCUCAUGGCAAAACUGGGUUUAAGGGUAUUUGGAAGCACAAGUAGUAUCUCUACUUGGUGCAAGGAAUUUUGGCUAGCAUGAGGGAGAAAGGCAAACUCAACAUGUUGGAUGAUCCGUGACAAUAUACUUUAUUUUAGAUGUAAGAAAACAUAACCCAUUACAUUGUCUUCCUUGUCCAACAUCAACUCUUUAGCAUGUCAUAUUUUAAUGAGUGCUCACAAUCAUAAAAGAUGUCCAAGAUAGUAUAUUUAUAUGUGAAACCUCUCUUUCUUUAUUACUUCCUAUUAAUUGCAACAAUGACCAAUACUAUGUUUGUCCACUCUCAACAAUUUUUAAUCAUCAUACUCUUUCUAUGUGAAGUCAUUACUCUCCAUAAGAUCAAUAUGAUCUCUUUAUUUCUUUUUAUUCUUUCCCUUUUCUUUUAUUCCCUCAAGAUCAUAGCAAGAUAAUCAAGCCCUUGACUCAACACUAAUCUUUAUUAUAUAUAGCUCACGGACUCGAUUACAUAGAGGAAUCAUAAAGCAAAACUCAAAACUAAAUCAUACUAAAAUUUAUUCUACUAGAUCAAGAUAUUACUAAAAGGAUCGAACUAAGAAAAAGGGUAAAGAUACGAGUGUGAUGGUGAUACGAUACCGGGGCACCUCCCCCAAGCUUGGCAGUUGCCAAGGGGAGUGCCCAUACCCAUAUGAUUAUGUCUCCCUUGCUGGUGAUGAUGGGUAGUCACACAUCGAGCGUAAGAGAUCCUCCAACUUGCGGAUAAUGCCCUUGAGUGCAACGAUAUGCCCCUUCAACAAAAUAUUUUCACGUGUGAGAUACUUGUUUUGUAUACGAGCUAACUCAAUCAUCUUGAAAGCUUCGAUCUCAGUUGGGGUAAGAAUAUUGUGAUCAAGUUGAAGGAUGUCUUCUGUUGCCGGAACUUGGUCCUCCGUGGCCUUCUUGAUCCCUUCAUCCUUGUUGAUCUCCAUGGGUUCUUCCCUCUUCAGCUCUAUCUUCAUGAGCCAAGCAUCGUUGUCACCAUUGUUGGAGGAGGGGGAUGACAUGAUGCCUGGCUUUGACAAUCCUGACAGAAAACAGAGGAUAUUUGCGUGAUACAGGAGUCAAAACCUUCGGGAGAUUAUAUAAUGAAUUUUUACCAACCAAAAUAGGUAUCAUGCAAGAAAACGGAGUCCGGAGAGUACACGAGGUGCCCACGAGGUAGGGGGGUGCGCCCAGGGGGGUAGGGCGCGCCUCCCACCCUCGUGGAUGCCUCGUGUCCUUCCCGGACUGCUUCUUAUUUUCCUGUUUUCUUAAAUAUUCCAAAAUGGAGAGAAAUUGCCAUUAGAACUGAUUUGGAGUCGGUUUACUUACCGUACCACGUACCUAUUCCUUUUCGGGGUCUGAAACGUUCUGGAAAGUGUCCCUUAUGUGUUCCUCCGGGGUUACGAUUUCAAUAAUAUUAGUUUCAACAUUUAUAGGAUUACCUGAGAUAUAAUGUUUGAUUCUUUGACCGUUCACCACCUUUGGAUUUGUGCCUUCGAAGUUGUUGAUUUUUAUGGCACCGGAACGAUAGACCUCCUCGAUAACGUAAGGACCUUCCCAUUUAGAGAGAAGUUUUCCUGCAAAAAAUCUUAAACGAGAGUUGUAUAGCAACACAUAUUCACCUACAUUAAACUCAAGCUUUUGUAUCCUUUUGUCAUGCCAUCUUUUAACUUUUUCUUUAAACAACUUGGCAUUUUCAUAGGCUUGAGUUCUCCACUCAUCAAGUGAGCUAAUGUCAAAUAACCUCUUCUCACCGGCAAGUUUGAAAUCAUAAUUGAGCUCUUUAAUAGCCCAAUAUGCCUUAUGUUCUAGUUCGAGAGGUAAGUGACAUGCUUUUCCAUAAACCAUUUUAUACGGAGACAUACCCAUAGGAUUUUUAUAUGCAGUUCUAUAGGCCCAUAAUGCAUCAUCAAGUUUCUUAGACCAAUUCUUUCUAGAUCUAUUAACAGUCUUUUGCAAAAUUAAUUUGAGUUCUCUAUUACUCAAUUCCACUUGACCGCUAGACUGUGGGUGAUAAGGGGAUGCAAUUCUAUGAUUAACAUCAUAUUUAGCAAGCAUCUUACGAAAAGCACCAUGAAUAAAAUGUGAACCACCAUCGGUCAUUAAAUAUCUAGGGACUCCAAACCUCGGAAAAAUAACUUCUUUAAGCAUCUUAAUAGAAGUGUUAUGAUCAGCACUACUAGUUGGAAUAGCUUCUACCUACUUAGUAACGUAAUCAACAGCAACUAAAAUAUGUGUAUAUCCAUUAGAGGCAGGAAACGGUCCCAUAUAAUCGAAGACCCAAACAUCAAAUGGUUCAAUAACAAGUGAAUAAUUCAUAGGCAUUUCUUGACAUCUACUAAUAUUAUCAAUUCUUUGACAUUCAUCGCAAGAUAAGACAAACUUACGAGCAUCCUUGAAGAGAGUAGGCCAAUAAAAACCGGAUUGCAAUACCUUGUGUGCAGUUCUAUCUCCAGCGUGGUGUCCUCCAUAAGCCUCGGAGUGACAGUUGCAUAGGAUCUAUUCCUGUUCAUGCUCAAGUACACAACGUCUAAUAACACCAUCUACUCCUUCUUUAUAAAGAUGUGGGUCAUCCCAGAAGUAAUGUCUUAAAUCAUAGAAAAACUUUUUCUUUUGCUGGUAUGUGAAACUAGGUGGUAUAAAUUUAGCAACAAUGUAAUUAGCAUAAUCAGCAUACCAUGGAGCAGUACGAGAAGCAUUUAUGACAUUCAGUUGUUCAUCAGGAAAGCUAUCAUCAAUAGGUAGUGGGUCAUCAAGAACAUUCUCUAACCUAGACAAGUUGUCUGCAACGGGGUUCUCAGCUCCCUUUCUAUCAAUAAUAUGCAAAUCAAAUUCUUGUAGCAAGAGAACCCAUCUAAUAAGUCUAGGUUUAGCAUCUUUCUUUUUCAUAAGAUAUUUAUUAGAAGCGUGAUCAGUGUGAAUAGUUACUUUAGAAUCAAUAAUAUAAGGUCUAAACUUAUCACAAGCAAAUACAACUGCUAAGAAUUAUUUUUCAGUAGUAGCAUAAUUUCUCUGGGCACUAUCUAGAGUUUUACUAGCAUAUUGAAUAACUUUAAUUUCUUAUCAACUCUUUGCCCUAGAACAGCACCUACAGCAUAAUCACUAGCAUCACACAUAAUUUCAAAGGGUAAAUUCCAAUCAGGUGGCUGAACAAUAGGUGCAGAAAUCAACGCUUUCUUAAGUAUUUCAAAUGCUUCUACACAAUCAUCAUCAAAGACAAAAGGAAUAUCUUUUUUGUAAUAGAUUGGUCAGAGGCCGAGAAAUUUUUGAGAAGUCCUUAAUGAACCUAUAAAAACCGGCAUGACCAAGGAAGCUUCUUAUACCUUUAAUGUCCUUGGGACAUGGCAUCUUUUCAAUAACAUCAACUUUGGCUUUAUCAACUUCAAUGCCUCUUUCAUAAAUUUGUGCCACAAGACAAUACCCUCAUUAACCAUAAAGUGGCACUUCUCCCAAUUUAAGACAACGUUAGUUUCUUCACAUCUCUGCAAAACUCGAUCAAGGUUGCUCAAGCAAUCAUCAAAAGAGGAUCCAUAAACGGAGAAAUCAGCCAUGAAAACCUCACAAAUCUUUUCACAAAAAUCAGAGAAUAUAGCCAUCAUGCAUCUUUGAAAGGUAGCAGGUGCAUUACAUAAACCAAAAGGCAUACGUCUAUAAGCAAAAGUACCGAAAGGGCAAGUAAAUGUGGUCUUAGCUUGAUCAUCAGCUGACACGGGUAUUUGAGAGAAACCAGAAUAACCAUCUAGAAAGCAAAAGUGUGUAUGUUUGGAUAAUCUCUCUAGCAUUUGAUCAAUAAAAGGUAAGAGGUAAUGAUCUUUUUUAGUAGCUUUAUUUAAUUUGCGGAAAUAAAUUACCAUCCUAUAACCUGUAAUAAUUCUUUGCGGAAUCAAUUCAUCUUUAUCAUUAGGAACGACAGUAAUACCUCCCUUCUUAGGGACACAAUGGACAUGACUUACCCACUGACUAUCAGCAACGGGAUAGAUUAUACUUGCCUCAAGGAGCUUUAAUAUUUCCUUUCUUACCACUUAUUUCAUCUUAGGAUUCAGCCGUCGUUGGUGAUCAAUAACGGGUUUGGCGUCUUUCUCCAAAUUUAUUUUGUGUUGACAUAGAGUGGGACUAAUGCCCUUAAGGUCAUCAAGAGUAUAUCCAAUAGCAGCACGGUGCUUCUUCAGAGUUUUCAAUAAUUUUUCUUCCUCCUUCUCUGAAAGGUUAGCACUAAUAAUAACAGGAUAUAUCUUCUUUUCAUCAAGAUAAGCAUAUUUAAGAGUGUCAGGCAAUGGUUUAAGAUCAAACACGGGAUCACCCUUGGGUGGAGGAAGAUCCCCUAAGAUUUCAAUAGGCAAGUUGUUUUUCAGAAUAGGACCCUGUUUAAAGAACACUUCAUCUAUAUCCCUUCUUUCAUUCAUAAACAUAUCAUUUUCAUUGUCUAGCAAAUAUUGUUCUAAAGGAUCACUAGGAGGUACGACAAUAGAAGCAAGACCAAUAAUUUCAUCUUUACUAGGUAAUUCCUCUUCACGGUGUUGUCUAUGAAAUUUAGAGAAAUUAAACUCAUGAGACAUAUCACCCAAACCAAUAGUAACAACAUCCUUUUCGCAGUCUAUCCUAGCAUUAACAAUGUUAAGAAGGGUCUACCAAAUAUAAUGGGACAAAAGCUAUCUUGUGGGGAACCAAGAACAAGAAAAUCAGCAGGAUAUUUAGCCUUCCCACACAAGACUUCAACAUCUCUAACAAUCCCAAUCGGUGAUAUAGUAUCUCUAUUGGCAAGCUUAAUGGUAACAUCAAUAUCUUCUAUCUCAGCAGGUGCAAUAUCAUGCAUAAUUUCUUUGUAUAAAGAAAUAGGUAUUGCACUAGCACUAGCACCCAUAUCACACAAGCCAUGAUAACAAUGAUCUCCUAUUUUAACAGAAAUAACAGGCAUGCCUACCACAGGUCUAUGUUUAUCUUUAGCACCCGGUUUAGCAAUUCUAGCAGUCUCAUCACAGAAGUAAAUAACAUGCCCAUUGAUAUUAUCAGCCAAGAGGUCUUUAACAAUAGCAAUAUUAGGUUCAACUUUAACUUGCUCAGGAGGUGUAUAAGUUCUAAUAUUACUUUUACAAACCGCAGUUCAAGCUUUAGCAUGAUCCUUUAUCCUAACAGGAAAAGGUGGUUUCUCAACAUAAGCAGUAGGAACAAUAGGAUCAUUAUAAGUGAUAAUCUUUUCUUCAACUUUAAUAGGUGCAACUACUUUUACUUCUAUGGGAGGAUGAUAUUUAAACUACUUCUCCUUAGGGAGAUCAACAUGAGCAGCAAAAGAUUCACAAAAAGAAGCUACUAUCUUAGAGUCAAGUCCAUAUUUAGUGCUAAAUUUACGGAAAACAUCGGUAUCCAUAAAAGAUUUAACACAAUCAAACUUAGGUGUUAUACCUGACUCCUUACCUUCGUUGAGAUCCCAAUCUUCAGAGUUGCAUUUAAUUCUUUCCAAUAAAUCCCAUUUGAAUUCAAUAGUCUUACUGUUGCUAUUUUUAUUUAUUUUAAUAAAGUUUAUUUAUUUUACUUUAUUAAAGUUUAUUUUAUUUCUACUUAUUUAUUUUAUUAAAGUUUAUUCUAUUUUGUUUCUACUUAUUUAUUUUAUUAAAUUUUAAUUUAUUUUAUUUUGUUUCUACUUAUUUAUUAAAUUUUAUUUUGUUUCUUUCUGCUUUUCAUGUUUUGAACAGAAAAUACUUAUAAUACUAGAGGUUUAUAAAAGCUUUUUAGUUUAUUCCUUUUGCUAUUAGAGUUUUAUAAAAGUUUUUUAGUUGAUUUUCUUUUUGCUAUUAAAGAAUAUUAUAGUUUUGUUUUAGUUGAUCAUAACAGAAUAUUUUAAUUGAUUAUUUUUUAGCUAAAUGAUGUGGCUUUUUAGUUGAUCAGUGUUUCAUACGGAAACUUAUCUGUUACAAAGAGAUUUCAUUUUUUAAACUUAUUUGAACUCCAGACCUUUUGUGUGUUCAAAAUGCACCAUUCAAAGCCACAUCAUCAAUUUUCAACCCUUUCUGACUUCAUUUGUUAUUUUUCAUGCACUUACUGAUUUUUUUAGCUAUAAGACCCUGAAAUUCAAAAGCAUUUCAAAUGAACUCUGAAAAGGUUGAAAGUUGGCAUGGUAUCAUCAUUUCAUCCACAUAGCAUGUGUUAAAAAGUUGAGAGGGUUACGGCAAAAACUAGAUGCACUUCGUGUACAAAAUGGACAGUCUCUUUCGAAGUAUCAGGGUUUCACACGAAAAGUCAUCUGUUACAAGGGAUUUCAUUUUUUAAACUUAUUUGAACUCCAGACUUUUUGUGUGUUCAAAAUACACCAUUCAAAGCCACAUCAUCAGUUUUCAACCCUUUCUGACUUCAUUUGUUAUUUUUCAUGCAUUUACUAAUUUUUUUGAGCUAUAAGACCCUGAAAUUCAAAAGCAUUUCAAAUGAACUCUGAAAAGGUUGAAAGUUGGCAUGAUAUCAUCAUUUCACCCACAUAGCAUGUGCUAAAAAGUUGAGAGGGUUAGGGCAUGGACAACACAUAAAACCAUUCUGCUUGUUUGCCUCAGCCACUUCGACAAACAUAAUUAUGUGUGUCUGUCACCAUACAUCCAUUGCCGGUUCAUCUGCGUGCAUUAUAUAUUAUUAUGUGUGUCAAAAACCAUUACAGGUUCACAUGGAUACACUAGUAGAAAACAGGGCUUUCGUUCGGGCAUGGCAAGCCCAUUAGUCCCGGUUCAGUCACGAACUGGGACCCAUGGGGGCAUUCGUCCCGGUUCGUGAGCCCUGGGGGCCGGCCGGGGCCUCGUGGGCAUUGGUCCCGGUUCGUAUGGAACAAUUUGUCCCGGUUCGAGGCACGAACCGGGACUAAUGGGCCUCGCUCCUGGCCCACAACCAUUGGUCCCGGUUCUUGGCUUGAACCGGGACAGAAGGCCCAGAUUUAGUACCGGUUCUAGCCACGAACCGAGACAAAUGAGCUGCCUAUAUAUACCCCAUCGCCGCAGCAGAGCACUCCACAGUGCUCUAUUUUUUCUGGCCGUCGAGGGGAGGGCAUUUGGGUGCUUUAGCUCACCUCCUAUGCACAUGAGGUGUUCGAUGAAAUGUCUGAGCCACACUAGUUAAUCUUUCUCCUCUCGAAACUCGACCUCCGAGCUCCAUUUUCCCCGAGAUUUGUCUAGGUUUAGCGGUCCGUCACGUCCCGUCCCCGUCUUCACCGCCGUCGAUCGCCCAUGCCGAUCUCGUCGCCAGCACCACCGUGGUGAGCCUCUUGUUCUUAUCUUCUUUCUGAAAGAAAAAAAUUCUUACUUCAGAUAGAUACUUGUCUAAUUUUGUUACUUUUAUUAUUCCUUCUUAUUAUAUAGUGCGAUGGUUUUGGUAUCCGCCCCCGUCGGCCCUCGUCCUGUCUAUGAUUCGGAUGUGGUAUAUAUUAUCUUUUUAUAACUAUUUGGUUCAUUUAUUGUUUAUGACAAUUAUGCCGACCAACGUGACAUAGAUUUUAUUUAUCUAGGAGGUGGUUGAACCGGAAAUUCCAACCGACCCUAUUGUCGAGAGGUUAAAUUUAGUUGAAGAAGAAAACAAUUACUUGAAGGAAAAAAUAAAAAAAUGAGGAGGAGAAUAUGAUAUUGGAGUUGCAUGUUGCGGAUGUCGUCGAUGAUCGCAAGAUCAAGAUGGAUGCAAUGCGGUUGAAGAUUAGAAAGAUUAGAAAAUAUGCCAUUCAUACCGAGGCUUGGUAUCAUUAUGCAGUUGGAUCAAUUGUUACCUUGGUUUGCGAUUAUGAUCGUAUUUGUUGUUGCAUUGAAAUGUUUUACAUAAUUUCAAUGUAUGGUUUAAUAGAUGCUCUAGAGAGCUAUAUAUAUGUUGUUCAAUGAGAACUAUGUAUGUACUUUGGUUUUAAUGUGAUGAUGAACUUCUGUUAAUUUGGUCACUUAUCUAUUCAUGAGAGCUAUAUGUUAUCUUCAAUUUCAGGGUCUUAUAGCUCAAAAUAAUCAGUAAAUGCAUGAAAAAUAACAAAUGAAGUCAGAAAGGGUUGAAAAUUGUUGUUGUGGCUUUGAAUGGUGCAUUUUGAACACAGAAAAACUAUGGAGUUCAAGUAAGUUCAAAAAAAAUGAAAUCCCUUUGUAGCAGACGAGUUUCCGUAUGAAACCCUGAUACUUCGAAAGAGAUUGUCCGUUUUGUACACGAAGUGCAUCCAGUUUUUGCUGUAACCCUCUCUACGUUCUUGCACAUGCUAUGUGGGUGAAAUGAUGAUACCAUGCCAACUUUUAACCUUUUCAUAGUUGAUUUGAAAUGCUUUUCAAUUUCAGGGUUUUAUAGCACAAAGUAAUCAGUAAAUGCAUGAAAAAUAACAAAUGAAGUCAGAAAGGGUUGAAAAUUGAUGAUGUGGCUUUGAAUGGUGCAUUUUGAACACAGAAAAACUAUGGAGUUCAAGUAAGUUCCAAAAAAUGAAAUCCCUUUGUAACCGACGAGUUUCCGAAUGAAACCCUGAUACUUCGAAAGAGAUUGUCCGUUUUGUACACGAAAUGCAUCCAGUUUUUGCCGUAACCCUCUCUACUUUCUUGCACAUGCUAUGUGGGUGAAAUGAUGAUACCAUGCCAACUUUCAACCUUUUCAGACUUCAUUUCUAGUGCUUUUCAAUUUUACGGUCUUAUAGCUCAAAAUAAACAAUAAAUGUAUGGAAAAUAACAAAUAUCAUAAAAAAAUAAAUAAGUAAUUAGAAACAGAAUAAAAUAAACUUUAACAAAAUAUAUAAGUAGAAACAAAACAAAAUAAACUUUAAUAACAUAAAUAAAAUUUAUUAAACUAAAAUUAUCAACGUAUUUUCUGUUCAAAACAUUAUAAGCAACCUCUAGUAUUACUGAAACUAAAAUUAUAUAAAAUUGAUGCAACUAAAAUAUCAAAGUUUUUUCUGUUCAAAAUCAUUAAAAGCAAAAAGAAUUUUCAUAAAGAAAUUUUUUUGUUAGAAACUUUAAUAGCAAAAAUAAUUAUCAUAAAAUAAAUAAGUAAUUAGAAACAAAAUAAAAUAAAAUAAAUAAGUAUUUUGUUGUAAGUAGAAACAAAAUAAAAUAAAUAAAGCAAAAAAGAAAAGAAAUAAACUGGGAAAAAAUAAAAACGCCACCUACUGGGCCACCACGGCCUGAAUACGACUAGAAACCCACCCAUGGGCCAGGAUUCAGGCCCGUAGAAGGCCCAAUAGGCCCAUAGGCAGAUACAGUGUGUUUAGGCCCGAAAGCCUGCAUUUGAGAGGAGCUCGAGAGGGCAGCGGGAGUGGGGCUUAUAAACCAAUCUCGAGUUCCCUCAGCUAGCGAGGUGGGACUAAACUUUCGUGCCGCGAUGUGGGCAGCACAAGGCCUUUAGUCCCGGUUGGUGCCACCAACCGGUACUAAAGGCAUACAUUGGUACCGGUUCGUGGCACCAACCGGUACCAAUGCCCACCCUUUAGUCCUGGUUNNNNNNNNNNNNNNNNNNNNNNNNNNNNNNNNNNNNNNNNNNNNNNNNNNNNNNNNNNNNNNNNNNNNNNNNNNNNNNNNNNNNNNNNNNNNNNNNNNNNNNNNNNNNNNNNNNNNNNNNNNNNNNNNNNNNNNNNNNNNNNNNNNNNNNNNNNNNNNNNNNNNNNNNNNNNNNNNNNNNNNNNNNNNNNNNNNNNNNNNNNNNNNNNNNNNNNNNNNNNNNNNNNNNNNNNNNNNNNNNNNNNNNNNNNNNNNNNNNNNNNNNNNNNNNNNNNNNNNNNNNNNNNNNNNNNNNNNNNNNNNNNNNNNNNNNNNNNNNNNNNNNNNNNNNNNNNNNNNNNNNNNNNNNNNNNNNNNNNNNNNNNNNNNNNNNNNNNNNNNNNNNNNNNNNNNNNNNNNNNNNNNNNNNNNNNNNNNNNNNNNNNNNNNNNNNNNNNNNNNNNNNNNNNNNNNNNNNNNNNNNNNNNNNNNNNNNNNNNNNNNNNNNNNNNNNNNNNNNNNNNNNNNNNNNNNNNNNNNNNNNNNNNNNNNNNNNNNNNNNNNNNNNNNNNNNNNNNNNNNNNNNNNNNNNNNNNNNNNNNNNNNNNNNNNNNNNNNNNNNNNNNNNNNNNNNNNNNNNNNNNNNNNNNNNNNNNNNNNNNNNNNNNNNNNNNNNNNNNNNNNNNNNNNNNNNNNNNNNNNNNNNNNNNNNNNNNNNNNNNNNNNNNNNNNNNNNNNNNNNNNNNNNNNNNNNNNNNNNNNNNNNNNNNNNNNNNNNNNNNNNNNNNNNNNNNNNNNNNNNNNNNNNNNNNNNNNNNNNNNNNNNNNNNNNNNNNNNNNNNNNNNNNNNNNNNNNNNNNNNNNNNNNNNNNNNNNNNNNNNNNNNNNNNNNNNNNNNNNNNNNNNNNNNNNNNNNNNNNNNNNNNNNNNNNNNNNNNNNNNNNNNNNNNNNNNNNNNNNNNNNNNNNNNNNNNNNNNNNNNNNNNNNNNNNNNNNNNNNNNNNNNNNNNNNNNNNNNNNNNNNNNNNNNNNNNNNNNNNNNNNNNNNNNNNNNNNNNNNNNNNNNNNNNNNNNNNNNNNNNNNNNNNNNNNNNNNNNNNNNNNNNNNNNNNNNNNNNNNNNNNNNNAAGAAGAAGAAGAAGAAGAAGAAGAGAGGAAGAAGAGGAGAAAUAAAUAAGAAGAUGAAAAAGAAGAAAAAAAAAGAGUAGAAGAAGAAGGAAUAGAGGAGAAGAAGAAGAAAUAGAAUAAUAUAUUAUUCUAUUUUUUCUUCUUCUCCUCUAUUCCUUCUUCUUCUCCUCUUUUUUUUCUUCGAUCUCCUCCUCUAUUCCUUUCUUCUUCUCCUCUUUUUUUCUUCUUCUUCCUCUUCUUUUUUUUAUCGGGUAUGCCGUUGUCGACAUACGUACCCCCCUCCCCGAUAACUUUUAGUAAGUACUACUUAGAAAGUGUUUAAUAAAAUUAGUUAGAAAAAUAAUAGAACUAGUUAAACUAGCUAGUUUAUUUUUAGUAAGUACUACUUUAUUCUAUUUAUAGUAAGGAAAUUAAUAGAACUAGUUUGUUUUUUUAGUUAAAGCAAUUAUUCCCGCAUCGACAUCGACGAUGCCUAUCCCGCAUCCUCGUCGUCGACUCGGUGGAGGAGGCCGGCUUGAUCAGAGGGGCCAUGUCUGGGACUGGGCUCCGCUGGGCUGGUUUUGGGAGGUGCUAGCUUCCGGGGGGCGUAGGUUGGUGAGGAGCCAGCCCGUCGUUGACCCGAUCCUUGUUUGGUGGCGGUCGCGUGGGCCAGUGACGGUGCCGAGGCUUCCGGACACCGCGGAGGUGGUACGUCACCGUGUCAGCGAGGAGGACCAGCACGUCCGUCGCUACAUGGUUGCGUUGGAGGGCAGGUUCGACAAUACCUGGCAGGUUCUUCAGGGAUCUCACUGGAGCUAUGAUCCUGUGAUGGUUCCUUCCCUUUGGGUGUCCACCGCCCGCACCGAUAUCAGUCGGGCGCUACGGUUCUAGUUGUACUGGCGAUAUGUAUGAUAGUAUUCGAGGUGUAUUAGUGAUAAUAUUCGACGAUGUACGGACACAUGGAGAUGAUGUAGUUUUGCUUAUAAUUGAAUGCAUCCUAAUUUGAAUACUACUUUAUUUUGCGAUUUGAUUUUGCUUAUUGAAUGCUCAAAUUAGAAAACUACUCCUACUUCGAAUGCUAAAAUUGGAGAGCACUAUGCAAGGCAUAUGCAUAUGAUUAGUUGAUAGCUUAUAGGGUUUUUGUUUUCGCAGAAAUCUAGGAGCCCCCGGCCCCUCCAUCAUCCCCGCCGUCGUCCCCGUCACCGACCCCCUCCGACAUCGAGGUGAGACCAGCCAAAUCCUCUUUUAGAAAGAUAAUUAAACGAUAUUUCGGGUUGACUUUAAGUCUGUCGAAUCUCCACCAUAUAUGAGAGGACGAAGAAUCCCGACUGUUGUCGUGGGGGUAGCUUCUCCUUCGUUCCCGUGUGCUAGACAAUUUGGUGUAAUGCACUCGGGAACGAAAGGAGGAGCUACCAUCACCGACGGUCGCAAAUGUCAGAGAGGAAUCAGUGAGGGAGAGUUCCACCAUAUAUAUAUGAGAGGACGAAGAAUCCCGACUGUUGUCGUGGGGGUCGCUUCUCCUUCGUUCCCGUGUGCUAGACAUUUUGGUGUAAUGCACUCGGGGACAAAUGGAGGAGCGACCAUCACCAACGGUCGAAUGUAUACACCACGUGAGCUGAGAGUUUUCAAGAAAAGACUCGACAAACCGAUAGUCAACCCGUGAUGAAUAAUAAUGAUCUAAUUUAGUUUUUGUAGUACACAUAUUUAAUUGUACAAGUUUAAUCUUUGAAUUAUGAACGUAGGAAAUGUCAUCAACGGAUGACGAAAGUGUCCUGGGGGAGUGCGGGUGGUGCCACGACGAUCGAGGUUUGUGCGACAGGCCUCACCUGGACGAUGAUCGGCGCUUCAGCAUUAAGCUCGAGGAGACCUUCGAUGUUGAAACGGUACGCAACGACGACAAGUGUUUUUUUCAUAAUUAAGCAGGACUUCAACUAUUUCAACGUGUAAUUUUCAUCUUUUACAAUUCGAGUAUAGCUUAUCCUAUGCCAUGCAAGACGCUAUGUCUUGGAGAAGAUGGAUUUUGAAGACCAUGAAAAUUUUGAAACGAAGAAAAUUCACCUAAGGACCCAUCAUGAUGUGGAUUUUGAAGUAAAUCUGUAUAAUGCUGAGAGCGUAACCCAUUUUGGUUGCAAAAAUUGGGAAGCAUUUUUGCAAGAUGUAUGGUUUUGAUGAGGGUAUGCUUGUCACCAUGGAUCUUGGUGAUCCUGGAAUCGAGCAAGACAAUAUGGACAUUUGGGUCCUUGUUGAUACGCCUCCAGUUCUACCGCUAUGUGAGUUUCUCAAACAUAGUUAUUAGCUAAUUUAUAUUGUUUAUUUCAAAAUAGUUGACAGCUUAUUUUCAUUGACAGCUUAUUUUGAUUGUUCAAACAAUGUGCGGAACAUGGUAGACAAAACCCACUACACCGAUGGCACCGAAUAAACUUAUCAGGAGAAAAAUCAUCUGGUCGGAUUUUGUACUGAUAUUGAGAAUUACAAUAUCUACAAUCGAACUCCUCAACAUUAUGGUCAAUACAUGCAACUAGUGCACGUGUUGAACUACGGUAACUACCAUGGAGAUACCCUGGUAAGAUAUUUUACUAUUACGACAUCCGUGCAUCUUUUGCAUACUUCUAAAACUAGUACAUCAUUGCUAACUAUAAAGUUAUUACUAUGUUUUUCAACAGAGAAUCCCAGAGGAUUGUGUGCCUCAUUUGAUGUAUCAGAAUGGCAGCCUUCGUGUUUUGAACAUAUAUCCAGGUCAUCCUACGAAUCUCAACUGUCCAUACCGGAUUUCUCAAAGAAGUGGAGACAUGCUAAUCAAUAAAUGGAAAAAAUGUAUGGACAGUCGUAAGGAGGUUCUUGGAAGCAAAAGGAAGCGAAGCUUAAAAAUUGAAGAUAGGAUGAUCUCCAUUCUCCAUAAUGGAGAGUCAGGGUCUAUAUUGUUUUAUGCUAUUUUACCUUAAAGAGGGUAUUUAGGUCCUACAUAAUACUGAUGAUCAUGUGCUAAGAACAAAGGAGGGUUGGUUCGAUGACUAUCAAGAUGAUGAUCAUAUGACCUGUUAUUAAUAACGAGUAGAAGUUAUAUGAUGAUGAUUAGUAGGACUUGUUAUUAUGAUGAUGCAUGAUGCGAGCAUGAAGAGUUAUUAUAUAUCUGUGGAUGAAAUGAACAUGGAUUGGAUUGAAGUGAAGGCAACAUGCAUGUGGUGCAUGUCGAAAGUAGUACAAUCCAAACUUGAUCAAGUUAGGAUUAGUAUUACUUUCGACAUGCACCACAUGUUGCCUCACUUCAAUCUAAGUCAUGUUUAGGCAUAGCAGUAGCAGUAGCACGGAGAUAAGAGAGGACACAUCUCUCUAUUAGCUACCUAUACCAACCUAAAUUAACCCCCAAAACCCCUAAACAACCUCCUUUCAAAAAAAAACCAGUCGCUGAAAUGCUGACGCGUGGAAGCUUAUUGGUCCCGGUUGGUGCUACCAACCGGGACCAAAGGCCCUCCUGCCUGGGCUCGCUGGAGCGGCCACGUGGAGGCCCAUCUGUCCCGGUUUGUAUAAGAACCGGGACUAAAGGCCUAGGGCAUUAGUAACGACCCUUUAGUCCCGGUUCCCCAACUGGGACAGAUGGGCCUUAUGAACCGGGACAAAUGGGCCUUUCUCUACUAGUGACAGAUAAGUGACCAAAUUAAUAGUAGUUCAUCAUCACAUUAAAACCAGAGUACAUACAUAGUUCAAAUUAAACAACAUAUAGCUCUUCAGAGCAUCUAGUUAAACCAUACAUUGAAACUAUGUAAAACCUUUCAAUGCAACAACAAAUGCGAUCAUAAUCACAACCAAAGUAACAAUUGAUCCAACGGCAUAAUGAUACCAAGCCUCGGUAUGAAUGACAUAUUUUCUAAUCUUUCUAAUCUUCAACCGCAUUGCAUCCAUCUUGAUCUUGUGACCAUCGACGACAUCCGCAACAUGCAACUCCAAUAUCAUCUUCUCCUCCUCAAUUUUUUUUAUUUUUUUCUUCAAGUAAUUGUGUUCUUCUUCAACUAAAUUUAACCUCUCGACAAUAGGGUCGGUUGGAAUUUCCGGUUCAACCACCUCCUAGAUAAAUAAAAUCUAUGUCACGUUGGUCGGCAUAAUUGUCAUAAACAAUAAAUGAACCAAAUAGUUAUAAAAAGAUAAUAUAUACCACAUCCGAAUCAUAGACAGGACGAGGGCCGACGGGGGCGGGUACCAAAACCAUCGCACUCUAUAAUAACAAGGAAUAAUAAAAGUAAGAAAAUUAGACAAGUAUCUAUCUGAAGUAAGAAUUUUUUUCUUUCAGAAAGAAGAUAAGAACAAGAGGCUCACCACGGUGGUGCCGGCGACGAGAUCGGCGCGAGCGAUCGACGGUGGUGAAGAUGGGGACGGGACGUGACGGACCGCUAAACCUAGACAAAUCUCGGGGGAAAUGGAGCUCGGAGGUUGAGUUUCGAGAGGAGAAAUAUUAACUAGUGUGGCUCGGACAUUUCAUCGAACACCUCAUCGUGAGCUAGAGCACCCAAAUGCCCUCCCCUCGCCAGCCAGAAAAAACAGAGCACUCUGGAGUGCUCUGCUGCGGCGAUAGGGUAUAUACAGGCAACUCAUUUGUCCCGGUUCGUGGCUGGAACCGGGACUAAAGCCCAGCCUUCUGUCCCGGUUUGAGCCACGAACCGGGACCAAUGUAUGUGGGCCAAGAGCGAAGCCCAUUGGUCCCGGUUCGUGCCUAGAACCGGAACAAAUGGGUCCAGACGAAACGGGACCAAUGCCCACGAGGCCCCGGCCGGUCCCCUGGACUCACGAACCGGGACGUAUGCCCCCAUCAGUGGCGGAGCUAGCAUUUGACAACAGGGUGGGCCGCGCCCAAAAAAAUUUAGUUCGUUCUUCGGCCACAUAUGCAGUCCCCUGCACAUCUGGCUCGCACAUACUAGCUUUCUUCCCUAUCUUCCUAGCAUGUCUCAAAAAUAAAAGCAAGGUUUCUGGUGCUCUUUAUUUUUCAAUAAUUCUACAGUAAUAUGGGUAUGAUUUCAUCGGUACAUCUAUUUAUGUGCUGCAUCUAAUUAAAUUCGUCUACAACUAGAAAACGGAACUCAUCUAUGUAAUAUAUAACAUUGCAUCUCUGUUUCCAUUCCCUGUCAAGAGUCAGACAAGCAAAGAAAUUUGGCUGUAAUCGGCCGAAGGGGAUUUGAGGCCAGUACCUCUCCCUCAGUCUCCCAAUCUGUGCGCCUGAGUGGACUGGGCGCCGUGGCCCGUGGGCGACUCGCCGGCUCAAGCAGUAGCAGGGCCAGGGCGGCUGCCGACUGGGCGCGCUGCUGCGCAUGGCGGCCGGACGACGCGCGGAGCACGCAGGGCCGAUGCCCGCGGGCUUCAGGAUGGCUCCUCCUGGUGGCCGGCGAGGCGACGCCACAACGACGAAGCAAGGAAGCAGGUGGCGAAUCUGAAUCGAGCGAGACAAGGGUUGUGCGGCUGUCUCGUGUGGUGCGGUGUGCCUGUGCGUUGUGCGUCCGGCCUUCUUUCUCCCCCGGCCGCUCUUUCUGGCAGCACUUGCUGGGCUUCUUUCCCCCUGGCCCAUGUCUUAAUAAUCCUAUCCUAUGCUGGCUCGAAAUCCCAGGGUGGGCUGCGGCCCACCCUGUCCACCCUGUGGCUCCGCCACUGGCCCACAUGGGUCCCGGUUCGUGACUGAACCGGGACUAAUGGGUUGGCCAGGUCCGAACCAAACCCUGUUUUCUACUAGUGCGUCCCUCUGUAAAGAAAUAUACGUAAGAGCGCUUAGAUCACUAAUCAGUUAUGAGUUACUCCAAAUAAAUGAUUCUGUGGACUAGGCAUUAUUGUCAAAAUGAUCCACGCGCAGCGAUUGUACACUAGUAAAUAAUGGAAUGGACUUGGACAGGCCUAUGGGUGGGUGGUAGCUGGCAAUGGCAUCAGUGGUGCACAAGGCGCGCAGGCGGGAGAUGAAACGGGCUAGCCUUCCUUUUACUCGCUGCCCGGAUGCAUGCAACACCCCCGUGGUUUCAUGUGCCCGUGCAUGCAUCGUCGCUGCCAUGCAUGAGACGGCAUCACAUGCCGCACCGGACUGAUCUAUAGACCAGAAACUGCUCGACACGUCAUGGGUGUGGCCCACGCGGCCAGCGUCUCGUCGCAGGCUCGCCACUGCGCUGCUCGACUCAACCAAGCUUGCUAUAGCUACAAUAGCUAGGAAGCAACCAAAGCAGGCCGACCAGUUCGCGGCCGGUGAGUAGUCCCCUCCCCAUCUUCGUCUUGGGCUUCUUCUUCUUGAGCUCGAUCUUGUGUUUUCUUUCUUUCGCGCCCGAAAAUUAAACAACUAACCGUGCCUUCUUGCUGCUGCUGGUUCCAGUCAGCUGGCUUCGAUCCGAGUCCGACCAUGGACAUGGACUCCCCGCAGAAAAAUCUUGGAUCCAUGGAUGCCAAGAAGACGAUGGCCGCUCGUCCGUUCCAGGAAGACGAUGCCAAGAAGAUGAUGGCCGCUCUUCUGCUGCUUGUGACGCUGGCCAAGAAGACGAUGGCGGCUCGUCAGUUCCAGGAAGCUACCCGGCUGGCCAGCGCUUGGGCGCUCGUCAACGCCGCCCACUUCCCCGUCUCCUACGCCUUGGGCUCCGCCAUCUUCUACGCACUCUGCUACCUGCAGGUAACAACUACGGCCCUUGGCUGGACGGAUGCUGCUGGAUCAUUCUGAGUUCCCCAUCGAUCGACCUACCAGCUACCACUACCAUGCGCUAAUUAAGUUCGUCUUCCUGGCUGGCUGCAGCUGCUGUGCCGCGAUUCAUGCGAGGAGGAGGACGCCAUGCACCGCCCCCUCUGGAUCGGGCAGUUGUGCUGCGCCGCACUCCAGGCGGCCACGGCGGCGCUGGCUCUGCUGCUCCCGCGCCGUCGCCGCCUGAUCCGCCGUGCCCUUGCCUACCUCGCCGUCGCGGUCGCCAUCGUCAACCACUGUUUGUUGGCCAGCAUCGCCCACCUCUUGCUCAUCCCCUUGAUCGUAUACGCGGCGCUGCUGCUGCUGCUGCUACUCCCGUGCCGUUGCCGCCGGGUCUGCCAUGCCCUCGCCUACCUUGCGGUGGCGGUGGCGGCCGUCAUCAUCGGCUGCUGUAUUUUGGCGAGCUUCGUCCCCAUCGCCGUCGACACAGGACUAGGCAGGCUCAUCCUUUUGAUCGUCUACGUGGCGGCCAUGUUCAUCCUGGCGGUGGGCGACCUCAGCUUCCUGGCCCUGCUCCUGGGAGGGGAAUUCCCCUGGGAGUUCCGGUGAGGAGUAGCUGCUGAUCGGUCAGCCGCAAGCUCAUGUCGUCCAUCGAUCAGCUCAUGAGGUACUGACGCACGUAACGAUCGACUUGCGGGGAAUAUUAAUAUUGAUGUGGUGCACUUCAUCUGCCUAGUAUUGGACCUUAAUUUGAUGCUGAAUUAGCCUGUUAUUUGUGUGAUCGAGAUAUGCUAUGAGUAGUACUGAUGAACAAGCUAUAUGUAUGGAGUCUUUGAUGAACAAGCUAUAUAUAUGGAGUCUUUGAUGUAGUAUUAAUUGGACCUUUUCUCUGCAUGAUCGACGGUUUAUGCCUAGCUUCGGUAUAAUUGAUGUUGGUGAUCUUGUUCUGCGCCACGUUCCUUGCACAUGAUCAAUGGUUU